UCGAACGGCAGCACGGAGCUUGCUCUGGUGGCGAGUGGCGAACGGGUGAGUAAUAUAUCGGAACGUACCCUGGAGUGGGGGAUAACGUAGCGAAAGUUACGCUAAUACCGCAUACGAUCUAAGGAUGAAAGUGGGGGAUCGCAAGACCUCAUGCUCGUGGAGCGGCCGAUAUCUGAUUAGCUAGUUGGUAGGGUAAAAGCCUACCAAGGCAUCGAUCAGUAGCUGGUCUGAGAGGACGACCAGCCACACUGGAACUGAGACACGGUCCAGACUCCUACGGGAGGCAGCAGUGGGGAAUUUUGGACAAUGGGCGAAAGCCUGAUCCAGCAAUGCCGCGUGAGUGAAGAAGGCCUUCGGGUUGUAAAGCUCUUUUGUCAGGGAAGAAACGGUGAAAGCUAAUAUCUUUUGCUAAUGACGGUACCUGAAGAAUAAGCACCGGCUAACUACGUGCCAGCAGCCGCGGUAAUACGUAGGGUGCAAGCGUUAAUCGGAAUUACUGGGCGUAAAGCGUGCGCAGGCGGUUUUGUAAGUCUGAUGUGAAAUCCCCGGGCUCAACCUGGGAAUUGCAUUGGAGACUGCAAGGCUAGAAUCUGGCAGAGGGGGGUAGAAUUCCACGUGUAGCAGUGAAAUGCGUAGAUAUGUGGAGGAACACCGAUGGCGAAGGCAGCCCCCUGGGUCAAGAUUGACGCUC
rnacentral:rRNA from 1 species